UCAUCUAAUUUCGAUGAAGGCAGAAGCAAAAAAAAAAAAAAAAAGAAAAAAAAAAGAGACCACUCUCUAUGAUCUCUCUCUCUCUAACUUCUUAGAUGAAACUUGAGUCCUCUGUGAUUUCCAAUGGCGAUCUGCUUUGCAUGUAGAGAAAGAAGAUGAAAAGGAAUAAGGACACAAGCAUGUACCGUGGUUCGACUAAAAAUGAGCCUACAUCCACGGGAAUAUCAAAUCCUUGGAGAAUUUUUCUUUCAGAUGAGUACAAGCUCUAAUUUUUGACUGUAUUGUUUUCUUCUGAUUUCCCUCUUUUAUACGGUUAAGAGAGAGAUCAGUUACAUGUAUGAAUUUAAACAGAAAAAUAAACUGGGAUAAAUAGUCAUUGGAUUUACUUUUACAAAUCUGUAUCUUGAAUCCAACUCUGUAAAUUUCUUCAAGCAUCUUCUAGCUCUAACUUGUCCUAUCCUUUUUCAGGUAGAUUGAAGCCUAUCAGUUCGAAACAUCUUUGAGGCUUGAGCUUCGAUACUAGUUUUGUGAGUGUGUCAGUAGCGUUAUCCGUGUUUUCAGGGCUGAUAUGAUUGAGUCCGUGGUUAAAGAUUCUCCGCCAUAUUUCAGUGCACGCUUCGCCUUUCUACAAGAUUCAGGUUGUAUGUCAAAGACUUAGAAGGAUUCAUCUUGUAGGUGAAGAAUUUCUCCCGUAGUGAUCGAAGCUGGAAGUUUUGAUGGAUCAAUGAGGUCCCUAUGAGCCUUUUGCUAACCGAAGGCUUUGAUUUUGGUCUUACAUAGGGCAAAAUUACCCUUUCCAUCAAACUUUUCAAUCUCAACUCUUGCCAUUGCCAUUUUAGGCCCAAUUUUUUUGAUGAACCACAAGAAGAGAGUAGCCCAUGAAUGCUUGAAGGUCCAAGUAACUCAAGUUGGUUAGGUGAAACAAAAGGAGGAGAGUUACCCACGUAGUCAGCUUGAAGGUUAAACACGUGAGCACAAUCAAUACUGACCAUGGAUAGAAGAGUCUCAUAAACAAGAAUAUAUACGAGGGCCACAUCUUUCAGUACGCCAUUUAUGAUCCAAUUAAAUACUCUGGAUUUACCGUUGGUGGUGUCGAUUGAGCUCGGGAGAGGAAGAUUGUGGUGGAGUCUUCAAACGUUGUAUUUUCUAUCCCUUUUGCAUGUUUAUUCUUGUUUUUAUUGCAAUUAGAAUGUUGUUGAUUUCAUCCCUUCCACUAUGCAUGUGUUCUUAUUGUUCCAUCAGUAAUAGUGUUGUAUAAAGAAACUAUUCAUUUCGUGAUCCGGUCUUAUACAAACUCUUUGUAUAGGAUACCCCCACUCACAUGUCUCCACAGGAUCAGAUCAUUUGUAAUACUUUACAAUAAUUGUAACAACUACAAAGCGGGUUGUAUUCAUAAUGUUAC